GGCAGGAUGAAUGUUAUCCCUCGGUCCAACCCACUUUCAGCCUGGCGCAUUAGGGGGCGCUAGUAUAAAUAGUGGCCAUUUGAGUGUCCCUGGAUCGCUUACCUGUGAUCUCCUUUUUGGUCACCUGACUUCCCUUUGGUGUUGCAGAGAUUAUUUGCGGGUUACUCUUCUGAAGCCUCCAUCGCGGCUGGUAGGUGUUUACUCAUUGUAGUGUGUAUAUUACCUUACUUGGUGGUAAACGGCUAUUGUUUGUAGGUCGUAGCUGUAGAAGCCUCCUCCGAGCCAUUCUGCUCACGUUUUAUGACACGGCUUACUCGGAAGUGUGGGCCUGAGUUUUGCGCCAAGCUACGUGAACUGAAGUGCUGCUGUUUUGCUUUGUUUUGCUUUGCUUUGCUUUGCUGUGCUUUUACCGUCUGUUCCCAUUGCGAGAUUUCUUUCCCUGCUGCUGCCAGCUUUUACAGUGGACGUCGGCGUGGACAACGGCCAUAUGCAUGCCGGUUAUCGGAGUCAGCUGGCGUGCAUAUUGAUUGACCGUUAACUUGUAGUCGUGUAGACGGCAAGUUGGAGCAACACGGCGAUUCCGUUUGCUCCUGAUUUUAGAGCUUUAUCCAGACUGUAUGUUGUUUUACUGUUUUUGAUUUGUAGUUUGGAUUUUUGUUACGCCACUGGUGGGAGGCCCUUUUUCUAGCUGUAGAUCACCAGUGUGGUCCUGCAGUUGGGUUAUCCCCCAGCGUUACACAUUAGUUUGUUGUGAUAUAUUAAAAUUUUCUUUGUUUCUUUUAUUCAGAUGCGGAGCGCCGACGUGGAGGAGACUAGGGUGCCUUGGUGGUGGGAUCCUUUGCGUGUACACACCUGCCUUGUUUAGUUUAUUAGUG